CCCUUGGAUGUUCUGGGCCGCACGCGCGCUACACUGACUACUUCAACGAGUUGUUUCCUUGAUCGAAAGGUCUGGGUAAUCUUUGAAAGGUAGUCGUGAUGGGGAUAGAUCCUUGCAAUUUUUGAUCUUCAACGAGGAAUUCCUAGUAAACGCAAGUCAUCAGCUUGCAUUGAUUACGUCCCUGCCCUUUGUACACACCGCCCGUCGCACCUACCGAUUGAAUGGUCCGGUGAAUCUUUAGGACUGUGGCUGAGGCCUUGCCUUGUGCGGGUCUGGCCGUGGGAAUUUAGUUAAACCUUACCAUUUAGAGGAAGGUGAAGUCGUAACA
rnacentral:rRNA from 1 species